rnacentral:lncRNA from 13 species
UAUUACAGAUAUACACUCACAUGAGCCGUACAUUUAACCUAUCACAACUUAUUCUCACGCUAUCACAAUGGUCAUUUCUUUACUAAUUAGGUAAGGUUAAGUGACCUCUUCUCUUGGAAUAGAAAUCCACAGGUGGAAUACACGCUCCACCAUCCCAUUUCCACAGUGGUGCCACCAUGGGGAUGAUGGGAGGUGGUUGUGGAUGAUUGUUUUCAUUCUUCACAGGGACACUGGCUGUGAGGAGGAUCUCCUCCCUCUCUGCAGGGACACUAGCCUUUGGGACGAUCCACUCCCUGUGCGCAGGGACGCUGGCCUUUGGGAAGAUUCCCUUUCUCUGCGCAGUGACACUGGUCAUCAGGAGGAUCAACUCCCUUUGUGCAGGGUGACACUGGCUGUUUGGAGGAUCCCCUUCCUCCGUGCAGGGACACUGGCUGUUUGGAGGAUCCCCUUCCUCUGUGCAGGGAUGAGGCCUGAUGCUCGGAGGAUCUCCUCCCUCUCAGCAGGGACACUAGCCCUUGGGACAAUCCCCUCCCUGUGCACAGGGACGCUGGCCAUUGGGACGAUUUCCUCCCUCUGCGCAGUGACACUGGCUGUUUGGAGGAUCCCCUCCCUCUGUGACGAGAUGAGGCCUGAUGAUCGUAGGAUCUCCUCCCUCUGUGCAUUGAUGCUGGCGGCUGAGAGAUUCCCCUUCCUCUGUGAAGGGACACUAGCUGUUUGGAGGAUCCCCUCCCUCCGUGCAGGGAUGACGCCUGAUGAUCGGAGGUUCUCCUCCCUCUGUGCAUUGACGCUGGCGGCUGAGAGAAUCCCCUCCCUCUGUGAAGGGACACUGGCUUUUUGGAGGAUACCCUUCCUCUGUGAUGGGAUGAGGCCUGAUGCUUGGACGAUCUCCUUUCUCUGCACAGCAACUUCGGCUGCUGUGAUGAUCUGAAGGUAUAAUAUAGAGCAUAUUGUCAUUCCUUAAAAAAUCAACUCAAUAGGAAUAAUGUUUUGUUCACUCAGUGUAGAUCAAUCCCUAGCAUAUACUUUCAUUUGUAUGUGUACUGAUACUGCAAAUACACAAAUUAUAUUAAUGUUAUCUACAAUAUAUUAUAAUACCAUAAGCCUCCCUGCUGCAGGGGCAUUUCCUACUACAAUUUUAAACUGAUUUUCUUCACUUUUAUUUUGCAUCUUUGUUAAUUUUCACAUUUAUUGUGUUUGGAAUGGCACUGUUACUACAGCAUUUGAUGUAAGUAUGUAGGACAAUUACCCAUAAUGCUCACUGACUGAACAUUCAAAAUGACCAUGGCAAUUAUUGACGCAUUCACAUGCCAUCGGAAAAUUGGAACCUCAGAGUUAAAAUGAAUGUAAGUUAUUAGCGUAGAGCUUCCUUCUGGUUGAUUCUGAUACUUCAGUGGGAAACUUGAAAUCAUCAUUCCAUAAUGAGUUAGCGAGUCAGAAAUGUCAGAAUUUCCGAGUUCCGACUUGAAGGGCCUUCUAUGAUGUUAGACAGGUCAGUAACCAAAUUAUUUUACUGUGCCCAGUGCCCACACAGACUUUUAUGGUCACACAAGUUGCCACCGGUAUAUUCAAAAUGAGUAGCCUAACAAUUAUUUAUGUGGCCCCAGUUACAUUUACAACCAAGAUAACCAUAGAUGGGAAGUUGACAAUAGGUUAUUAUUAGGGUAAAUAAAUUGUAUUUCUAUGGUUGCAGUCCUCAAAGAUUGAAUUGCAUUGAAUUGAAUUAAUCAGAUCCAAUGAUUUACCGCCCGUAGGGUGGGGUAAAGCUAGUCAUCAUUAUUAUAAUCACCAUCUCAAUCGUUAUCACCAUACCAUCAUAGACUUAUUCUUC